rnacentral:tRNA from 1 species
GCGGAUUUAGCUCAGUUGGGAGGAAGCGCCAGACUGAAGAAAAAAAGAGAGAGCUUCGGUCAAGUUAUCUGGAGGUCCUGUGUUCGAUCCACAGAAUUCGCA